rnacentral:rRNA from 1 species
UAGGGAAUCUUCCGCAAUGGGCGAAAGCCUGACGGAGCAACGCCGCGUGAGUGACGAAGGUCUUCGGAUCGUAAAGCUCUGUUGCCAAGGAAGAAAGACUGGUAGAGGGAAUGCUACCAGAGUGACGGUACUUGAGAAGAAAGCCCCGGCUAACUACGUGCCAGCAGCCGCGGUAAUACGUAGGGGGCAAGCGUUGUCCGGAAUUAUUGGGCGUAAAGCGCGCGCAGGCGGUUUGUUAAGUCUGAUGUGAAAGGCAGGAGCUCAACUCCUGUUAGCAUUGGAAACUGACAGACUGGAGUGCAGCAGAGGAAAGUGGAAUUCCACGUGUAGCGGUGAAAUGCGUAGAGAUGUGGAGGAACACCAGUGGCGAAGGCGACUUUCUGGGCUGUAACUGACGCUG